rnacentral:rRNA from 1 species
AAAGUUCCCUUCGGGGAGCAAGUAGAGUGGCGCACGGGUGAGUAACACGUAGGUAAUCUACCUUUGGAUGGGGAAUAACAACCGGAAACGGUUGCUAAUACCGCAUAAUGCAGCGGCACCUAAUGGUGACAGUUGUUAAAGCGGGGGAUCGAAAGACCUCGCGUCUGAAGAGGAGCCUGCGGCGGAUUAGCUAGUUGGUAAGGUAAUGGCUUACCAAGGCGAUGAUCCGUAGCCGGCCUGAGAGGGCGGUCGGCCACACUGACACUGACAUACGGGUCAGACUCCUACGGGAGGCAGCAGUCGGGAAUUUUGGGCAAUGGGCGAAAGCCUGACCCAGCAACGCCGCGUGAAGGAUGAAAUCCCUCGGGAUGUAAACUUCGCAAGAACGGGAAGAAUAAGUGAGGGUUAAUAUCUCUCGCGAUGACGGUACCGUUUGUAAGCUCCGGCUAACUCCGUGCCAGCAGCCGCGGUAAUACGGGGGGAGCAAGCGUUGUUCGGAUUUACUGGGCGUAAAGGGCGCGUAGGCGGCCACCGCAAGUCGAUUGUGAAAUCUCCGGGCUUAACCCGGAAAGGUCAACCGAUACUGCGGGGCUAGAGUGCAGAAGGGGCAACUGGAAUUCUUGGUGUAGCGGUGAAAUGCGUAGAUAUCAAGAGGAACACCUGCGGCGAAGGCGGGUUGCUGGGCUGACACUGACGCUGAAGUGCGAAAGCUAGGGGAGCGAACGGGAUUAGAUACCCCGGUAGUCCUAGCCUUAAACGAUGAAUGCUUGGUGUCUGGGGUUUUAUAGUCCCCGGGUGCCGUCGCUAACGCUUUAAGCAUUCCGCCUGGGGAGUACGGUCGCAAGACUG